GCGAACUUGUGAGAGAUCACUUGGUGCCUUCGGGAGCGCAGAGACAGGUGCUGCAUGGCUGUCGUCAGCUCGUGUUGUGAAAUGUUGGGUUAAGUCCCGUAACGAGCGCAACCCUUGUCCUUAUUUGCCAGCACGUAAUGGUGGGAACUCUAAGGAGACUGCCGGUGACAAACCGGAGGAAGGUGGGGACGACGUCAAGUCAUCAUGGCCCUUACGAGUAGGGCUACACACGUGCUACAAUGGCCGGUACAAAGGGCAGCGAGCUCGCGAGAGUCAGCGAAUCCCUUAAAGCCGGUCUCAGUCCGGAUCGGAGUCUGCAACUCGACUCCGUGAAGUCGGAAUCGCUAGUAAUCGUGCAUCAGAAUGGCACGGUGAAUACGUUCCCGGGCCUUGUACACACCGCCCGUCACACCAUGGGAGUGGACUGCACCAGAAGUGGUUAGCCUAACGCAAGAGGGCGAUCACCACGGUGUGGUUCAUGACUGGGGGAAAGUCGUAACAAGGUAACC
rnacentral:rRNA from 1 species